rnacentral:rRNA from 1 species
UACGAAGGGGGCUAGCGUUGCUCGGAAUCACUGGGCGUAAAGGGCGCGUAGGCGGCCGUUCAAGUCGGGGGUGAAAGCCUGUGGCUCAACCACAGAAUGGCCUUCGAUACUGGAUGGCUCGAGACCGGAAGAGGUAAGUGGAACUGCGAGUGUAGAGGUGAAAUUCGUAGAUAUUCGCAAGAACACCAGUGGCGAAGGCGGCCAACUGGUCCGGUACUGACGCUGAGGUGCGAAAGCGUGGGGAGCAAACAGG